GGAGGAGGGAGUUGGGAGGAAAGCGGCGGCGGUGGCGGCUUCAACAGCAGCUCUUGCCCUUAAGGAACAAUGCCUCCAGUCGGAUCCUGCGUCAUUCUGGCUGCCUUGGCCUUUCCUUUCCUCAGUUGAGCCAGGAAACACAAAGAUGGUGCAGACCCAGGCCCUGCUUUGACUGGGAGAAAGAUGCAUUCAGUUGACUAAAACUUGAAGCUUGGUGGCAUGCAUGUUUAGUCCCAGCUACACAGCAGGGAGGCUGAGGCUGAAGGAAUACUUGAGCCCAGGAAUUCAAGACUAGCCUGCACAACAUAGUGAGACCCUGACUUUAAAAUAAAUUUAAAAAAAUUAAAAGCAACAAGACUUUCUGCUUGUAUAUGAUGAUGUUAGUAUGCUGACUUACAAGGUUAGAUCAUUUUGAUAUGUGUGAUGUAGGUUUUCAAAGCUGGCACUGUUUUAUGCUUCAAAUAUUAUUUUUAUUCAUUGGUUCUCAUGGGAUUUCAUCACUAAGCUGUAAAUCAAUAAUCAUAAUGUUGAGGGGAGGGGAUUACAAAAUAGCUCUUCAAAAUCAUCUUUGCAUUUCUCAAUAAACAGCAUUCCCUUUUGGACUACAGUGAAAAA
rnacentral:lncRNA from 1 species